AGAGGAAGGGUAAAAGUCGUAACAAGGUUUCCGUAGGUGAACCUGCGGAAGGAUCAUUA
rnacentral:rRNA from 1 species